UGUUGUUAUUUCGGGCAUGAGCUAGCCAAGCGGCCGGGGUGUUGGGGACGCAGCCCCGCCGCUCCAUAUUUCAACAGAUGGUGCCCAGACGUGAGGCUAACUGAAUCCACAAAAAGCCUGAGAAAGCUUGGGAAAGAAUGGAGUGAAGCAUGUUUUCUUGGUAGAACAAAUUUCUUGGGUCUACUCUGCUUGCUAGAGGCAAGCAAGCGCUCUCAUCUAAGAGAGGCUUCCUGACUCAGCUUCAGCUGCAAAACCCUGCAGCUCAUUAAGAGGUCCUGCCACGAAACACUUAAACGGUGUUGGUGAAAAGCUGAACGCAUGCUUUUCGGUUUUCAGCCGUAGCAGGAAAAAAGCUGUGCUGUUUAAAAAUGCCGGCUUUCUGGGCCGUCCUGCCAGGGCAAACUCUGACUGAGGCAGGAGGGCCAACUACCGAGAGAGGACUUGACUGUUGUCUGUUGUAGCUCGCUGGCUGGCAGGGACCUUGAAACGCCAUAGAAUUGUGGCUAUAAACAUGGCUACAGCCUGUAUCUCCGCCAUGAGGCUGGAAAGCUAAGGAAUGGACUGGAUCUAGCUGGCAAAGCCACGGCUUUAAUCCUACUCAUAUUGCUCAGUAAUUUAAAGGCUCGUGUGGUCAGAAAAAGAGAGAGAUACAGUAAAGAGAUUCAAAGAUAAAGAAAAUGUUUAAAUGAUUUACAGUGUGUUAAAAAUAUAUGCAAGCUAAAAGUUAAAAGUUUUUAAAAAAAAAGUAAGAAAAAGAGAAGUUGUGUGUGGUAGUACACGCCUUUAAUCCCAACACUUGGGAGGCAGAGGGAGAUUGACCUCUGUGACUUCAAGGUGUGGUAGCAAACACCUUUAAUCCCAAUGCCUGGGAGGCAGAGACAGGCGGAUCUCUGAGAGUUCAAGGAGAGCCUGGUCUACAGAGUUAUUCCAGGUCAAAAAGAUACAGAGAAUAUAAAAUAAAAGUAAAAAUAAACGAAAUAGAGGUUAAAAUAAAGCGUACAAAGAUGGAAAAUACACAGAGAAUCUUGAUACUGUAUACUAUUAUGCUCUCUUUGAAUUGUUUGAAUGCUGAGGAAGGAGCAACAGAUGCUAAAAGAUAUUUGUUUAUAAAUGCUGCUGAACUAAUCCAUCGUAGAGAUUUUGAUGCCUUGACUUUGAAAUUUGGAUCUAAGGACAUGAUACUUUGGAAAGGAGUUUCUUAUUUUGUUUUCACAGAGGAUGAGACCCUGUUCAUUUCUUCUAUUCCGAUAUGGUAUGAUGGACCACGCCCUCCUGAACGGUUGCUGUGAAUACCUUCAGAAAAUUGCUUCGCUCAACUGCCAACUGAGAUGAAACUAGCACACAGGUUAUACCAUGAAAGACCUAAUUAACGACGCCCCCAUUCAGCAGGAAGCAGUUUGGAGAGAAAAAACUGCGCCCAUGUUCCCAAAUAUUGUUUAUAAAUGUUCUUUUACAUUUAAAGGGGGAGAUGAUAUAGGUAUGAAUAAUUUACAUUGAUAUGGAUUUUGCUUUAGUGAUUUAAAUUUAAGGUUAAUUUUGUAAUGUAUAUAGGUUGUUAAUGAAUAAUUAAUAAUAGUUAAGUUUGUAGUCAUGUUAGUUAAGGUUUUCUAGAUGUGCAUAGAUAUAUUUUAGAUAGGCACUCUUCAUAUUUUUCAAAGAUUAUAGAAUAUGCUAUUAAAUGUUUUAAUAACUUAGGACUUUUCAUGACAAUGGGACACUCUGCUCCUGGCAGCACCAAUCUACUUCAAGAGGAAGAUGGGCAUCGAAGAGGAUCCUUAUGGAGUUUGAUAGCCAUUUGGGCAAGAAACUGCUCUUGCCUGGACUAUUGCAUAAACUGGACACAGAGAACCCGCAGAGAGAGGACUGCUGAACUUGCCUAAAGGUGAGAUGAUCUUUCGGGGUUCCUGAUUCAUGAAAGAGUCUGCAAGACAUUCUUCAGGACAAGCAGAUAGUGACUGUCUUUGAAAUUUCCUGCUUUGUGGAAAUGUCUGCUGGAAACUAUGGGCCUGUAGGCUGAAGAUGGAUGCCCCAACGGUAUAGAGGAACUUUGGGUGACUGUCCAGGCAGCGAGAUGUCUCUGUCAUUUCUAGAGCUUUGGAUGUUAAGUUAAAGCCUUCUUUUUUCUUUUUUUUGUUUAAACAGAAAAAGGGGAAGUGAUGUAGGAGUGUCAUAUAUCAAUCUGUUGAUUUCAUUGGCUAAGUUAUAAUAAACCAACUGCUUGGCCUCAGCUUAGAACAUAGAUGGGAGGAGUAAACAGAAUAGAAUCCUGGGCGGAAGAGGAAGUGAGGUCAGACUCUGCUCUGCUCCCGGAGAGACUCUGCUCUCCGGAUGACAGACGCCAUGCUCCGAUCUCCUGGGAAGAUGCAUGCAAUGAAGCUCCUCUCAGCUCCGAACCCAGAAUGGACAUAGGCUAGAAUCUUCCCGGUAAGCGCACCUUGGGGUGCUUACACACAUCAUUAGAAAUGGGCUAGUCCAGGUGCGAGAAUUAGCCUGUAAGGGCUAGAGUUCAUGGGCCAAGCAGUUCUUAAAUGAAUACAGUUUGUGUGUAGUUAUUUCGGGCAUGAGCUAGCCAAGUGGCUGGGGUGUUGGGGAUGCAGCCCCGCCGCCACUAUUAUUUCAACAUCCCACAGAUGGACUACCAAGAGACAAACGAGACAAACAAAAUCUCAAGGGCAGCAGCUCACCAGGGUGAGGGCAGCACUGCCAAAGAGAGCUUGUGGUUCUUCUGAGACUGACAGGCUACAGUCAACAUGCAUGGGUCUUAGUGACGUCAUAGAUUACAUGAAUGCAAGAUGUAGCAAGUGUCAGCUGGGAAAUAAGAAACCAGCUCCUCUGGGUCACACAGGCAGCAGAAGUAAUUGGGAUGAAAAGAAAAUUAAGUUAGGGGAGGAUUAAGUGAGUUUAAAUUCUAAUGCACAGCAGUGAAAGAUUUAAAUGUACGAUAUCGAUUUUUAAAACAGAUCAAGAAAAAGAAAACUUCCAUCUAUUUUUACUAAUAUUGACUCAACAGGCUCCCACUGCCAGCCCAUUCGUCAGACACACAAAUUGUUUAAGGAGUCCAAGUAGAUGACAGCCUUGGAAACGCUGUGUGUCGUUUUAAAGCUCAGACUGGAAGAAGACCUGGAAUCUGAAAGUCAUCUCAGGGAAUACACACUGCCUCUUCUUCGUCAUCCCAGAACACAAAGGUUUAAACGGGCUUAUAGUGCGACAUGAGGAAUUUAGAUCGGAAAUCUGCAAGUCUCCCAAGUGGGAAUUCUUAAAGAAUAAGACUGUUUCAUUAAAGUUUCCAAAUAAUGGAUAAUUCCUUGACUGCAUUCCCAAAGAGAAUCAAAUUUAACAUUAGUUCAAGAUUCCUUAACCACAACACGCCGAUCCCACCCAUGUGCCAGCUGGCUGUCCUCACACAUCAGAGAACAGAAGACAAAAAUAAUGGCUGUCCCUUUGCUGUCAUGGUUGAAGAAUGGAUCUAAAGCAGCUGGCCUGGGGCGGGGAGCACUUAGUGCUCCAUACUAACCAAGUUCAUCACUGGAGUCUGUCUGCGACAAGUCCUAGAGUGGGAUCUCGGCAGAGCUCCACGAUUCCGAGGAAACACAGUAAUACUUACAGGUGAUAACUUUCUGCUCUGCCCACAGGAAUUACCCUCAGAUGUACGCCUGUACAGUGCCCGAUGGUAUACUUGGAAAACCAAAGUCAGACAUGACAUCUAAAGAAUCUGUGCACUGGGCCCAAGGACUCAGAGCCAGUAGGAGGCGGCUAUAAUCAGCAGUGUAGUCUUUGCAUGGAAAGCCUCACCAAGAGCAAUCUAUGGAAAGCGCUGUCCUUCCAACUACAACCCAGAGCCCCUCCUCCAGAACACAGCCCCAUAGUUGACCUGUAUUAGUUACUUUUCUUGCCAUGUGAAAAAAUAGCCAAUAGAAGCAAAUUAAAGGAGGAGGGCGUGGAGGCGGGAAGAGGCCUGGCUGGCUACAGGGGAGGGGCAGAGCUCUUCUGUCUGGCUGGGUCUGGGUGAGCUCAGGCUGGAACCAGAGCAGAAGGCACCUUCAAGGUGCUUCAGUACUGACUCACUUCUACUAUCGAGGCCAUAGUCCUGACACAGCAUGGCAGCUGGGAAUUGAACACACAGACACACAGACACACACGCACACAGACACACACACACGCACACACCAACGGGAACGCUUCAGUCCCUGCCCCAGCAGGUCUCCUUCACUCUCCUCAGCUGCUCUGCAGCCCGGCUGUGUUCUUCGGUCACUCCCCUGUCUGGAGACACCCACUGCAUGGUUGUGAAAUAGCUCAUGUCAGACUAGUGCUAUUUCUAGUCUGAAAGAGUCUUCUUCAGCUUAAGUCCUGGAUUGUUUGGAAGACAAGACCUUGAGAACUGGGGACCUGAAGGGCUCGAGAGAUGGCUCAGUGGCUCAGAACACGCGUAGUUCAUGCACAGAACCCAGGUCAGGUUCCUAGUGCUCACAGGCAGCUGACAAGCACCCAUAACUCCAGCACUGGGGGAUCUGAUGUCUUCUGACCUCCACAGGCACUGGGUGUGCACAUGGUGCACAGAUAUUCAUAGACAAAACACUGAACCUCUGGAACUGUGAGGCACCCCAGUGAAAUGUUUUAUUUAUUAGACUUGUGUGGUCAUGGUGUCUCUUUACAGCAAUAGAAACCUAAGACAGCACAUAUACCGGCUUAUCAGUCACAGACACACCACAAAUCAGCUGCCACAGAUGGGGUGCAGUUAGCACGCAGGCUUCACCCGGGGGGGAAGAGUCUCACCAGUCCAACCACCCCUCUUCAAACCCACAGCCUUCUCACUUGUGCCUCAAAUGCCAUGGGCGCCCUGCCACACAGCAGAGCAGACCCAUCACCCCACCAUUAAUAAACUCCCAGAAGCCCGUGGUGAUGACUUCUCUCACAGGAGUGGCUCUUCCCCGAGAGAAGCUUAGUAAAUGACUAUUCUUCUGAACUGAAUGCACACAGACAAAAACAGCAGGCAUUUUACAUUUCAACUCAUUUAAAAUACAAGACAAUC